rnacentral:misc_RNA from 1 species
AUAUCUCCCCAGUCAGAAUUCCUAUUAUUGGCGUUCUCUUUUUGAUAUACAUAAUAUGAAAAAUGUGCAAUGCAGUUGAGACAUUUAGCUGAUCUCUCCUCUUGUAUAUAUCUGGACUGACGGCACAUCUUGUAGCUUAUUAUUUAACAUAUGCACAUUGUGAUUCUUUCCUCAAAUUCUUGUUUAAAAUUCUACUAGAUCUGUUGCA